rnacentral:lncRNA from 1 species
GAAACAACGGCAGCUCUAUCUAGGGGUGGUAUGAGAUGGAAGGGACAAGCCUCUGCUGGGCUCGAUACAGGGGUUGAGGCUCGACCUGGGUAUUGAAAGAUGGUCACAUGUUUCCCCACGUAAACGGGCCCAGAGAGCAAGCGUGCAAAGGCCCAAAGGGACCAACCAGCAUGGAGUGUUUGGGGAAUGGCGAGGAGCUUCUGUAUGGCCGGGCCAGGGGGAAGUCUGAAAGGGGAGGCAGGCACUGUAAGAGACAGGACUGGUAGGGCUGCAAAGGCUAGAUCCCCAAACAUCUUGUGGGUUUGGCCAAGGAGUCUGGUCCAGAAUAGAAAUUCCUGGAUAUAGCCACCAGCAACCUGUUUGACCAUGCUUCCUGUUUCACAGCGGAGGCUGUGAACUCACCAAAGAACUGGAUUCAGGAGCGUUUGCUCCCCGGCAAAAAUAGAACACCUCCCACCCCCCACCACCCAAAUGAAGGCAAAAGGCUACUAUUGUGUGGAGGCAUUCAGAGGAAGCAGGUGGAAUUUCAUCUGGAGUGAAACUCCUCCAUUGAAACAAACACCUCAUUGCCAGAUCCCAAAAGAGCACAUUAUAGGAGGUCAUUGCUGUCUGUAGGGAAGGGAGUGUCCUAGACACCAACAGAUGCCUCAUAAAACUGAGAGUGAGCAGGACUGCAGCUAAAAGGCCUUCAGACACCUCACAAAAUGGUGAUUUUGGGACUGCAAACAGACAUUUCUUUCACUUCCCCACACUGCAUAUGGAGAAAGAGCGAGGAGGGGGUUUUACGUUACGCUCAGCUGAGAGCCAGAGAAGUAAACUGCCUUCCACCGGCUCAGAUUUUAUUUUCAGCAAAUGGGCGCCUUCACGUGUAGACCAGCCUCUUACUGCAGGCUCCUUGUCUGUGUCUAUAAAACACUGCCAUUGUAGAUGUUGAGAGUCAUUUUUAGAGCCAUUAUAGCAGGGGACCCAUCCUUCCCUUCACCUCUUCUCUUCAGGGGAGUCCAGAAAAAGAGAACAGGUACAAGGGAAAAAAGCCAAAUGAGAAUUUCAAAAAAAUUUUUUUUCUUAAGUAGUACUUAAUUAAUACCUGAGGCAGCCUCCAAAAUCCCCAACACAAGGCACCCC